rnacentral:rRNA from 1 species
AACGAACGCUGGCGGCAUGCCUAACACAUGCAAGUCGAACGAGAUCUUCGGGUCUAGUGGCGCACGGGUGCGUAACGCAUGGGAAUCUGCCCUUUGGUUCGGAAUAACAGUUGGAAACGACUGCUGAUACCGGAUGAUGACGAAAGUCCAAAGAUUUAUCGCCAGAGGAUGAGCCCGCGUAGGAUUAGCUAGUUGGUGUGGUAAAGGCGCACCAAGGCGACGAUCCUUAGCGGGUCUGAGAGGAUGAUCAGCCACACUGGGACUGAGACACGGCCCAGACUCCUACGGGAGGCAGCAGUGGGGAAUAUUGGACAAGGGGCGAAAGCCUGAUCCAGCAAUGCCGCGUGAGUGAUGAAGGCCUUAGGGUUGUAAAGCUCUUUUACCCGGGAUGAUAAUGACAGUACCGGGAGAAUAAGCUCCGGCUAACUCCGUGCCAGCAGCCGCCGUAA